rnacentral:rRNA from 1 species
UAAUACCGGAUAGAUCAAAGAUACUGGAAUGUUCUUUGGUCCAAAACUCCGGUGCCCAAGGAUGGGUCUGCGGCCUAUCAGGUUGUAGUGGGUGUAACGUACCUACUAGCCUACGACGGGUAAGGGUUGUGAGAGCAAGAUCCCUGAGAUGGAUUCUGAGACAUGAAUCCAGGCCCUACGGGGUGCAGCAGGCGCGAAAACUUUACACUGCGGGAAACCGCGAUAAGGGGACCCCGAGUGCCAGCACCUAGUGCUGGCUGUCCAGCUGUCCAAAUAACAGUUGUUAGCAAGGGCCGGGCAAGACCGGUGCCAGCCGCCGCGGUAACACCGGCGGCCCGAGUGGUAGCCGCUAUUAUUGGGUUUAAAGGGUCCGUAGCCGGCCUAUUAAGUCUCUUGGGAAAUCUGGCGGCUCAAUCGUCAGGCGUUC